AUUGAACGCUGGCGGCAUGCUUUACACAUGCAAGUCGAACGGCAGCACAGGGAGCUUGCUCCCGGGUGGCGAGUGGCGCACGGGUGAGUAAUACAUCGGAACGUGUCCUGUUGUGGGGGAUAACUGCUCGAAAGGGUGGCUAAUACCGCAUGAGACCUGAGGGUGAAAGCGGGGGAUCGCAAGACCUCGCGCAAUUGGAGCGGCCGAUGCCCGAUUAGCCUGUUGGUGAGGUAACGGCUCACCAAAGCAACGAUCAGUAGCUGGUCUGAGAGGACGACCAGCCACACUGGGACUGAGACACGGCCCAGACUCCUACGGGAGGCAGCAGUGGGGAAUUUUGGGACAAUGGGCGCAAGCCUGAUCCAGCUAUUCCGCGUGUGGGAUGAAGGCCCUCGGGUUGUAACCACUUUUGUAGAGAACGAAAAGACACCUUUUAAAAAAGGUGUUAGCUGACGGUACUCUAAGAAUAAGCACCGGCUAACUACGUGCCAG
rnacentral:rRNA from 1 species